UUUGAGCAGACCAGAGGCGAUACUGUGUGUAGAAAAGUUGAGGGAUGGAAUAUUCUAGAUUGUAAUGAGACUUGCCCUGAUGAUCUAAUGAACAAGAGGCAGCCAGUGACAGUAUGUGAAAUACGUGAAGAAUAACCGUUCUUUUCAGGGCUGGGAGCCUUUUCUUCCCCUCCUUGCACAGUCUUUAAAUCAAACUAAUAUAAUUACCCAGGCAUUCCAAUAACCACAACUAAUUAUUCUGAAUUAAAUUUUAAUCCUGCUGCAUCUAUCAGGGCAGGGGGAAAAAAAACUAACUAUUUACCAGGCUGGGUGUUAUUUAAGAAAUAAAACUGCGUUUUGGUGCCUUUCAAAGUCAAUUAGCUAGUGAUGGCCAUUCCUCUCCCUCUCUGUCUGCACUCCUUUCUGAUUGUUUUUCUGGGCACGUUUUGCCCUAACUGCAAAUUACCAGUUGUAUGAAUUGCAGAGCAGCUGCCAUGCACAGAGCAGAGAGGAGCUGAGCACACUCCUUCUGCCACACUGGAGCCUGCACCAUGGAGGACCCUGGCACCUGAUGGUGAGACCCGGAGUGGACUGACAGGAGGUAUCCCUACCCAUAGAUAUCUGCUUUUAUCCCGUCAUUGACCUUCCUUUGAAGUUGCGGUUCCUAUGGAUGAUCAGAGUGAAAGAGAGAAUGACUGAACGAAUAUUCACAAAUAUGUGUAAGUUGAA